rnacentral:rRNA from 1 species
CUAGGCAAAAGACAUGAUCCCUUUAUUCCCAUGUCUUCCGGGAAGCAGAACCAGGUCAAGAUGAUAUGGGUCGCCCCUUCUUCUUGCGCCAAAGGUCUUACCAUUUCUGAAGGAACUGGGGCUACAAUUCUUUUCAAUUUCCAUUCAAGAGUUUCUAUCUGUUUCCACGCCCUUUUCUUGAGACCUCGAAACAUGAGGACAAAUUACUUCUCUUAG